rnacentral:rRNA from 1 species
GCCUAUACUGCAAGUCGAACGCUUCUUUUCCCACCGGAGCUUGCUCCACCGGGAAAAGAGGAGUGGCGAACGGGUGAGUAACACGUGGGUAACCUGCCCAUCAGAAGGGGAUAACACUUGGAAACAGGUGCUAAUACCGUAUAACAAUCGAAACCGCAUGGUUUCGUUUUGAAAGGCGCUUUACGGUGCCGCUGAUGGAUGGACCCGCGGUGCAUUAGCUAGUUGGUGAGGUAACGGCUCACCAAGGCCACGAUGCAUAGCCGACCUGAGAGGGUGAUCGGCCACAUUGGGACUGAGACACGGCCCAAACUCCUACGGGAGGCAGCAGUAGGGAAUCUUCGGCAAUGGACGAAAGUCUGACCGAGCAACGCCGCGUGAGUGAAGAAGGUUUUCGGAUCGUAAAACUCUGUUGUUAGAGAAGAACAAGGGUGAGAGUAACUGUUCACCCCUUGACGGUAUCUAACCAGAAAGCCACGGCUAACUACGUGCCAGCAGCCGCGGUAAUACGUAGGUGGCAAGCGUUGUCCGGAUUUAUUGGGCGUAAAGCGAGCGCAGGCGGUUUCUUAAGUCUGAUGUGAAAGCCCCCGGCUCAACCGGGGAGGGUCAUUGGAAACUGGGAGACUUGAGUGCAGAAGAGGAGAGUGGAAUUCCAUGUGUAGCGGUGAAAUGCGUAGAUAUAUGGAGGAACACCAGUGGCGAAGGCGGCUCUCUGGUCUGUAACUGACGCUGAGGCUCGAAAGCGUGGGGAGCAAACAGGAUUAGAUACCCUGGUAGUCCACGCCGUAAACGAUGAGUGCUAAGUGUUGGAGGGUUUCCGCCCUUCAGUGCUGCAGCUAACGCAUUAAGCACUCCGCCUGGGGAGUACGACCGCAAGGUUGAAACUCAAAGGAAUUGACGGGGGCCCGCACAAGCGGUGGAGCAUGUGGUUUAAUUCGAAGCAACGCGAAGAACCUUACCAGGUCUUGACAUCCUUUGACCACUCUAGAGAUAGAGCUUCCCCUUCGGGGGCAAAGUGACAGGUGGUGCAUGGUUGUCGUCAGCUCGUGUCGUGAGAUGUUGGGUUAAGUCCCGCAACGAGCGCAACCCUUAUUGUUAGUUGCCAUCAUUUAGUUGGGCACUCUAGCAAGACUGCCGGUGACAAACCGGAGGAAGGUGGGGAUGACGUCAAAUCAUCAUGCCCCUUAUGACCUGGGCUACACACGUGCUACAAUGGGAAGUACAACGAGUCGGGAAGUCGCGAGGCUAAGCUAAUCUUUUAAAGCUUCUCUCAGUUCGGAUUGUAGGCUGCAACUCGCCUACAUGAAGCCGGAAUCGCUAGUAAUCGCGGAUCAGCACGCCGCGGUGAAUACGUUCCCGGGCCUUGUACACACCGCCCGUCACACCACGAGAGUUUGUAACACCCGAAGUCGGUGAGGUAACCUUUUUGGAGCCAGCCGCCUAAGGUGGGAUAGAUGAUUGGGGUAAGUCGUAACAAGAGCC